rnacentral:rRNA from 1 species
UGGGGAAUAUUGGACAAUGGGCGAAAGCCUGAUCCAGCCAUGCCGCGUGUGUGAAGAAGGUCUUCGGAUUGUAAAGCACUUUAAGUUGGGAGGAAGGGCAGUAAGUUAAUACCUUGCUGUUUUGACGUUACCAACGGAAUAAGCACCGGCUAACUUCGUGCCAGCAGCCGCGGUAAUACGAAGGGUGCAAGCGUUAAUCGGAAUUACUGGGCGUAAAGCGCGCGUAGGUGGUUCAGCAAGUUGGAUGUGAAAUCCCCGGGCUCAACCUGGGAACUGCAUCCAAAACUACUGAGCUAGAGUACGGUAGAGGGUGGUGGAAUUUCCUGUGUGGCGGUGAAAUGCGUAGAUAUAGGAAGGAACACCAGUGGCGAAGGCGACCACCUGGACUGAUACUGACACUGAGGUGCGAAAGCUGGGGGAGCNAACAGGAUUAGAUACCCUGGUAGUCCANGCCGAAACGAUGUCGACUAGCCGNGGGAUCCAUGNGANCUUAGUGGCGCAGCUAACGCGAUAGUCNGACCGCCUGGGGNAGUACGGCCGCNAGUUA